rfam:Sus scrofa chromosome X.
GCCCUCAAUGGCUCAGUAGCCAGUGUAGAUCCUGUCAUUUGUAAUCAGUAGCUACAUCUGGCUACUGGGUCUCUGAUGGCACCU